rnacentral:rRNA from 1 species
UAGGGAAUCUUCCACAAUGGACGAAAGUCUGAUGGAGCAACGCCGCGUGAGUGAAGAAGGGUUUCGGCUCGUAAAACUCUGUUGUUAAAGAAGAACAUAUCUGAGAGUAACUGUUCAGGUAUUGACGGUAUUUAACCAGAAAGCCACGGCUAACUACGUGCCAC